UGCCUGUGUGGCAUUAUUUUGGUUGCCUGUGUGGCAUUAUUUUGACUUGCCUGUGUGGCAAUGUGUAUUUCUGAGCUCAUUCGGUAUAAAAUAACUCCAGCCAUUUGUUUCAGCCUAUUAUUUUAUUGGAUUAGUUUUGUUGGUUUCUGUUCAGUUCAAGUCAUUGAGUUAGUUACUUCAGUUCGUUAUUUCUUUAUUCUUUUAUUGGUUUCGUCAAUUACGUUGAUUCAGAUAUAUUCAUUACGUUGAUUCAGAUAUAUUCCAUUCAAAUCUUUGGAUAUUAUAUUUUCGUUCGUAUUUGCACUUGAGGCUUUGUUCAGUAUUUUGUCUCAAUUAUUUUCGUAUAUCAGUUGUAUAUCUUUUGUAUAUCUGUAUCCGUACUGGACAAUUGGCUCAUGCUGGGUUUUUCUUCCGGCAGGUUUGCAGGGGUGAUU
rnacentral:lncRNA from 1 species